UAACCAUUUUCGCGCGACAACAGUCGCACUUCCUUCUCUCUCUACGCUCUUCUUUCUCUCUCUAAAGUUCUUUCUCUCUCUAAAGUCUACCAUUACAGCCGCCCAUUUCUUCUUCUCCAGCUAACCGCGCCGCCGACGCUGCCGCUAAUCCGACGCCUCUCCUCUCCCUCACCCCACUGGCGACGCCACCAGUCGAGCCAACACCUCCGUCGCGGACCAUUUCCCCUUCUUAUAAGCUCUGCCGCCAUCGCCGCUGCACAGCAGCUACAAGACUGACGGGCAUGCAAUCACCGCUGCCCAGCCGCACCAACUAACCCAUGUCGCCGCCGCCUCUCAUCCAGCCAGAAAACAGCUGCUCGACCCAUUUCUGACAAAUUAUUCGAUGAGAAUUUUAAAGAUUUGUUCGUAUCAGCAUUCGUAUGUAUAGAUUUAUUUCUGAAAUUCUAUUAUUCUUUCUGGUAUUUUCAGCUUUUGGGUUCGUGCACAAGAUAACAACAUUUGAGAAGACUGUAGGAUUCCAGGCUCUGGUGUAAUUUACUGAUGCAGAAACUGCUACUUCAGCAAAGGAUGCCCUGGAUGGAAGAAGCAUUCCCAGCAUCAAGCAAUUUAGUACAAACGGCCUCUUAUGGUGGAGAGGUCUUGCUCAACUGUUGGAAGUUAAAGAAUUUGUUAAAUGAUGAACGCCCAUCUCAAGAAGACAACCAAGAGGAUGAAAGUGAUGAUGACUCUGACGCGUGAAUGAAAGUGAUUCUAAUCUUGAUAACGUGGAUGAAAGUGAUUCUGACCUUGAUGGUUGGUAGUUUUAUUGAGGAUUCAAAUUUGAAAUAUUUUAUUUUGGACCAUUUAAGAAUCAUACAUUAUUCAUGUGGAUGUUUUGAAUUAUUUUUUUUUUGUUAGUUGUAAUGAUUUACAUUAGACUUGUAUUUAAUGAUGUUUUUGAGAAUUAUUGAAGGUUUUGAAUAGAUUUUUGAUUAAUUGUGAAAUAUUUUUAGUAA